AGGGGUAACAGAGGAGCUUGCUCUUGCUGACGACCGGCGCACGGGUGCGUAACGCGUAUACAAUCUGCCUUGCACUAAGGGAUAGCCCAGAGAAAUUUGGAUUAAUAUCUUAUGGUUUAUAUAUAUGGCAUCAUAUUUAUAAUAAAGGUUACGGUGUAAGAUGAGUAUGCGUCCCAUUAGUUUGUUGGUAAGGUAACGGCUUACCAAGACUACGAUGGGUAGGGGCCCUGAGAGGGGGAUCCCCCACACUGGUACUGAGACACGGACCAGACUCCUACGGGAGGCAGCAGUGAGGAAUAUUGGACAAUGGAGGAGACUCUGAUCCAGCCAUGCCGCGUGCAGGAAGACGGUCCUAUGGAUUGUAAACUGCUUUUAUACAGGAAGAAUAAGGACUACGUGUAGUCUGGUGACGGUACUGUAAGAAUAAGGACCGGCUAACUCCGUGCCAGCAGCCGCGGUAAUACGGAGGGUCCGAGCGUUAUCCGGAAUUAUUGGGUUUAAAGGGUCCGUAGGCGGGCUGUUAAGUCAGGGGUGAAAGUUUGCAGCUCAACUGUAGAAUUGCCUUUGAUACUGACGGUCUUGAAUUAUUGUGAAGUGGUUAGAAUAUGUAGUGUAGCGGUGAAAUGCAUAGAUAUUACAUAGAAUACCGAUUGCGAAGGCAGAUCACUAACAAUUGAUUGACGCUGAUGGACGAAAGCGUGGGUAGCGAACAGGAUUAGAUACCCUGGUAGUCCACGCCGUAAACGAUGGAUACUAGCUGUUUGGAUUUCGAUCUGAGCGGCCAAGCGAAAGUGAUAAGUAUCCCACCUGGGGAGUACGUUCGCAAGAAUGAAACUCAAGGAAUUGACGGGGGCC
rnacentral:rRNA from 1 species